GGCCGCCUGGCGUAAUGGCAACGCGUCUGACUACGAUGGUCCGGUGUGUCCGAAUGAUCAGGAGAUUGCAGGUUCGACCCCUGCGGUGGUCA